UUACAGGCAUAUUUAAUGUCAAUUUUCGUAUUAACCAUGUGAAAAAUGUCAGUGAAAAGUACUUCAUGCUCAU